AUUGAGCCUGCAACUGAGCACCAGAUUUUCUUCAGUGGACGUCUCCUGCCUGAUGAGAGGAGGACUCCAUAUCGCUCCAUGAGACAAGCCCCUGAUUGACUGCUCUGCUGUGUGAGCCUGAACCAACUGCGGCCGCCUGUCUGUCUCCAUCUUCGUCGUCCAUCUUUCGGUGUGCAUCGCUGGGUGUCCUUUGCUGGAGCCUAGGACCCACUAGGAAUAGAACACUCACACCUGCAG